UACGAAGGGUGCAAGCGUUGUUCGGAAUCACUGGGCGUAAAGAAUGCGUAGGCGGCUUGACAAGUCGGGAGUGAAAUCCCAGGGCUUAACCCUGGAACUGCUCUCGAAACUGUCUUGCUAGAGUCCCGGAGGGGUUAGCGGAAUUCCGAGUGUAGAGGUGAAAUUCGCAGAUAUUCGGAGGAACACCAGUGGCGAAGGCGGCUAACUGGACGGGAACUGACGCUGAGGCAUGAAAGUGUGGGGAUCAAACAGG
rnacentral:rRNA from 1 species